AAAUUGUUGAUCAAAAUAUUUUCUUCAGGUACAAUAUUUAAAUUUUUACCGCACUGAUAAAUAAUAUAUUGCUUAUAUGAUGCGUAUUGGCCUCCUCUUAUGUGCAGUGAUUGGAAAAACAUUCUUGAGAACUACUAAUCCCAUUGUAUUUUACGAUCAAAGCCUCACGUCACUAUAGUUUCUGAUAAAAGCGCUCAUGAAUCGAAAAAUACAAUAUAAAGCCUACAUUCCUAAACCCCGCGUUUUGCUUAAAGCGCUUGCAAGGACAAAAGUCGAUGUUUUACCUCGUUUUGGAACAGUUUGUUUUGUUGAAUUCGUUGAAAAAAUGGCGUCGAAAGAAGUCUAUUCUAUAGCUUUUUUUUUAUAUUACCUUCCUUAUGAGGGUUAUAUAGUAACUUGUCCCCCGAAGACGUAAGCGCGAAAGCGGAAUGUGAAGACGGCAGGAAAGUCCGCCGGGCGGUCCGGAUCCGUGUAGGGUCCCACUGCAGGCCCCCAGUAAGGGGAUUUGGGCACCAUCGAAGUUAAUCCCGAUUCCGUAUAGGAGCCCACAGAAGAGCCCCCACUGACGGACCUCAGAACCACUAACGCGAGGUGACCCCUUUAGUUGCCUUUUACGAUAUGCGGGGUCGGACAGUGGCGUAUUCUAAUCCUUUACCCACGGGAUUCUAUAGCUUCUAUAGUACUUAGCGAACUAAAUACUAUUACUGUUUUUUAUAAGAAAUAUGAUGAUACGAUUAUUCAGUUAUUAGCAGUAUAUGAAAAUAGAGAGAGAAC
rnacentral:lncRNA from 1 species